AGGACGAACGCUGGCGGUGUGCUUCACACAUGCAAGUCGAACGAGGUAGCAAUACCUAGUGGCGGACGGGUGAGUAACGCGUGGGAAUCUGCCUUUGAAUGGGGGAUAACGGGCCGAAAGGUCCGCUAAUACCGCAUAGGCCGCAAGGUUAAAGGAGUAAUCCGUUCAAAGAUGAGCCCGCGUCCGAUUAGCUAGUUGGUAGGGUAAAAGCCUACCAAGGCGACGAUCGGUAGCUGGUCUGAGAGGAUGAUCAGCCACAAUGGGACUGAGACACGGCCCAUACUCCUACGGGAGGCAGCAGUGGGGAAUUUUACGCAAUGGGCGAAAGCCUGACGUAGCGACACCGCGUGAGCGAAGAAGCCCUUUGGGGUGUAAAGCUCUGUCAGCUGGAACGAAAAAAUGACGGUACCAGCAGAGGAAGCAUCGGCUAACUACGUGCCAGCAGCCGCA
rnacentral:rRNA from 1 species